UACGUAGGGGGCAAGCGUUGUCCGGAAUCAUUGGGCGUAAAGAGCGUGUAGGCGGCUCGGUAAGUCCGCUCUGAAAGCCCGGGGCUCAACCCCGGGAGGCGGGCGGAUACUGUCGGGCUAGAGUCCGGAAGAGGCGAGUGGAAUUCCCGGUGUAGCGGUGAAAUGCGCAGAUAUCGGGAGGAACACCAAUGGCGAAGGCAGCUCGCUGGGACGUGACUGACGCUGAGACGCGAAAGCGUGGGGAGCAAACAGG
rnacentral:rRNA from 1 species